GAGUGAUUGUGCCCAUGUGCUGAAAGCACAUAUUGAAAUGGCACAAUCGACUUGCCGCCGAACGAAUGUGAGGGGGCGAUACCAUAA
rnacentral:sRNA from 12 species